rnacentral:rRNA from 1 species
AUUGAACGCUGGCGGCAUGCCUAACACAUGCAAGUCGAACGAGUAGCGGACGGGUGAGUAAUGUCUGGGAUACUGCCUGAUGGAGGGGGAUAACUACUGUAAACGGUAGCUAAUACCGCAUACCAUCAGAUGUGCCCUGAUGGGAUUAGCUAGUUGGUGGGGUAACGGCUCACCAAGGCGACGAUCCCUAGCUGGUCUGAGAGGAUGACCAUCCACACUGGAACUGAGACACGGUCCAGACUCCGACGGGAGGCAGCAGUGGGGAAUAUUGCACAAUGGGCGAAAGUCUGAUGCAGCCAUGCCGCGUGUAUGAAGAAGGCCUUCGGGUUGGAAAGUACUUUCAUCGGGGAGGCGUUACCUGCAGAAGAAGCACCGGCUAACUCCGUGCCAGCCGCCGCGGUAAUUC